CUCUGAAAGAUUUGGAACCUUAGGCAGAGAGGUGGAAAGGAGUUGGGGAGGCAGUGGCAAUGAUUUGAAAACUAUAACCAAUUUUCUCUCUCCUAGGAGUUGGAGACUUGGAAUCCCCUUUGGUGCAGAAACUAUUCCUUCAUGAGAAGAAGUCCUUAAAUAGGCUCUUUAGACAGGAGGCCACAUGUUGAAGGCAGCAGGGUCACAAGAUGGAAGAACCAG
rnacentral:lncRNA from 10 species